GAUGAACGCUGGCGGCGUGCCUAAUACAUGCAAGUCGAGCGAACAGACGAGGAGCUUGCUCCUCUGACGUUAGCGGCGGACGGGUGAGUAACACGUGGAUAACCUACCUAUAAGACUGGGAUAACUUCGGGAAACCGGAGCUAAUACGGGAUAAUAUAUUGAACCGCAUUGUUCAAUAGUGAAAGACGGUUUUGCUGUCACUUAUAGAUGGAUCCGCGCCGCAUUAGCUGGUUGGGAAGGUAACGGCUUACCAAGGCAACGAUGCGUAGCCGACCUGAGAGGGUGAUCGGCCACACUGGAACUGAGACACGGUCCAGACUCCUACGGGAGGAAGCAGUAGGGAACCUUCCGCAAUGGGGGAAAGCCUGACGGAGCAACGCCGCGUGAGUGAUGAAGGUCUUCGGAUCGGAAAACCCUGUUAUUAGGGAAGAACAAAUUUGGAAGGAAAUAUGCACGUCUUGACGGUACCUAAUCAGAAAGCCACGGCUAACUACGUG
rnacentral:rRNA from 1 species